rnacentral:lncRNA from 1 species
AAAAAAAAAAAAAAAAGCCUGUGGAAGACUCAGCAGAACCCAGGAAGCGCAGAAUUGGGAGAAAAGUCUUUGGCUGGGGCUGUUUCAAGUCUCUGGUUCAAUGGGCUGCUCGAAGCCAGGACUGGGUAAUUCUUUCCAGACGUCUUGACUUCUCCUUCCUCGCCGUUGUUGCCUUUCUGCCUCCUCCAACUUAAGGGGGUCUUAACAAGUGAGCUGGAUCUUCUGAGGGGUGGACUUCUUUGGAACUCGACAGGACCUUGAAGACUGGGUUCUUAGUCCUUAUCACAUAUAUGGGCUAUAAUGAAAAAACACAUUUGUUGUUUCUCGCCUCUUGUAAUUCAAGACCCAUAAGACAAAAGUAAAAUGUUCUCUGACUGCAAAUGGAUGUAAAAACUGAUUAUACAGCUACACAUUUCUGUCAUCCUCCAAUCUCUACCCCAAAGAAAG